CAAUGAUUGUGUUGUUUUUCACUGAAACUUCCGUUUGCCGGGAGCCUUUUCCCUUCAGGUAGGUCAUGACUGAGGGGAAGGAGGCAUUGUGGGAAAAGCGUCGUAUCCAUUGUUGCAAGGGACAUAAAGAUGACGAAGGCAUGACUCCUGUGCUCAGGGAGCUUCCAAUGCAGAAUGUAAAGUUCUUUGGGAAAAAAAA